GAUUAUUCCGGUUGAUCCUGCCGGAGGCCAUUGCUAUUGGAGUCCGAUUUAGCCAUGCUAGUCGCACGGGUUCAGACCCGUGGCGAAUAGCUCCGUAACACGUGGCCAAACUACCCUAUGGAUCGGAAUAACCUCGGGAAACUGAGGCUAAUACCGAAUACCGCUCUCACGUUGGAAUUACAGAGAGCACGAAACGCUCCGGCGCCGUAGGAUGUGGCUGCGGCCGAUUAGGUAGACGGUGGGGUAACGGCCCACCGUGCCGAUAAUCGGUACGGGUUGUGAGAGCAAGAACCCGGAGACGGUAUCUGAGACAAGAUACCGGGCCCUACGGGGCGCAGCAGGCGCGAAACCUUUACACUGCACGAACGUGCGAUAAGGGGACUCCAAGUGCGAGGGCAUACAGUCCUCGCUUUUCCCUACCGUAAGGUGGUAGGUGAAUAAGAGCUGGGCAAGACCGGUGCCAGCCGCCGCGGUAAUACCGGCAGCUCGAGUGAUGGCCAAUAUUAUUGGGCCUAAAGCGUCCGUAGCUGGCCGAACAGGUCCGUCGGGAAAUCCGCUCGCUCAACGAGCGGACGUCCGGCGGACACCAGUCGGCUUGGGACCGGAAGACCCGAGGGGUACGUCCGGGGUAGGAGUGAAAUCCUGUAAUCCUGGACGGACCACCGGUGGCGAAAGCGCCUCGGGAGGACGGAUCCGACAGUGAGGGACGAAAGCUUGGGUCACGAACCGGAUUAGAUACCCGGGUAGUCCAAGCUGUAAACGAUGCUCGCUAGGUGUGGCACUGGCUACGAGCCAGUGCUGUGCCGUAGGGAAGCCGAGAAGCGAGCCGCCUGGGAAGUACGUCCGCAAGGAUGAAACUUAAAGGAAUUGGCGGGGGAGCACUACAACCGGAGGAGCCUGCGGUUUAAUUGGACUCAACGCCGGACAUCUCACCAGCACCGACAGUGUGCGAUGAAGAUCAGUGUAAUGAGCUUAUUGGAGCCACUGAGAGGAGGUGCAUGGCCGCCGUCAGCUCGUACCGUGAGGCGUCCUGUUAAGUCAGGCAACGAGCGAGACCCGCAUCCUUAAUUGCCAGCAGUACCCU
rnacentral:rRNA from 1 species